rnacentral:rRNA from 1 species
AACAACCCAGACCGCCAGCUAAGGUCCCAAAGUUGUGGUUAAGUGGUAAACGAUGUGGGAAGGCUUAGACAGCUAGGAGGUUGGCUUAGAAGCAGCCAUCCUUUAAAGAAAGCGUAAUAGCUCACUAGUCGAGUCGGCCUGCGCGGAAGAUGUAACGGGGCUCAAACCACACACCGAAGCUGCGGGUGUCACGUAAGUGACGCGGUAGAGGAGCGUUCUGUAAGCCUGUGAAGGUGAGUUGAGAAGCUUGCUGGAGGUAUCAGAAGUGCGAAUGCUGACAUGAGUAACGACA